CCAGGAGAGAGGCUGGCCAGAGACCAGCCAGCAGUGAGGCAGUUACAUCAUCCCUGCUGAAUACAUUUCCUAAGAAUACAGGCUGCCUUGUGGCUGGCCCUAACUGUUGUCUUUUCUGAGCACAGAGCCAGCAAUUUAUUCCCAGCACUCUGGAAAGCACAACAAAAACACACAUUCUCUGCAAAACACAGCCUGGUUACAGGAGAGCAAGACAGCCCAGUGACAGAAGCUGUUAAUUUCUCUAAGCAACCCAAAGACUGGAAUGCCAAGCCAAUCCAGGCUGGCAGGGGGAAAAAUACAGCUCUCUGGAUAUCCAGAACACGGAAGCAGAAGGGUGGAUGCCUAGUGCUAUCGGUUCUGGGUGGCACCUCCUGAAUCCACAAUCUGGGCCCCUUUGUUAAAGCAAGACAGUGAAGACGAAGCUAGUGCACAGGCAGAGGGCUUUACCAACAAUUAUUCUUUAAACAUCCAAUGGAGAAAGCCGAAGGCGUUUAAAGUUCAGCUGAAUGGAAACCAAAUAAUGUGUGCCGGGAUCUGUCACUGGACACCUGCUGUACCCCGGCAUCGUGCAACGCCUGCGUCCUCCUCAUUCCACGCCCACCGCAGCCCCGGAAGGCCGUCCGUCGCGUCCCUCCUCACAGACCCGGAGACCGAGGCUCCCGAGGCGGAGCGACUUAGGCAAGGUCACUCGGUGAGUCCAAAGCCAGGUCCGCCUCCCCUCCCGGCUGCGAGCCACGGCGCGGUGCCUGUCCCCGGGGGCGCCGGGGGCGCGUGAGCAGUUUCACCCGGAGCGAGGGCUGCGGCCGGCGCAAAUAGCAGCUGCGGCCGCGGGGACGGAGCCGAGGACCUGGACAGCGACGGCGCCCGCAGGGACCCGCCCUCCCGCCUGCCCCGCACUCACCCGCCGCUGCCCGCCAGCCAAGCGAGCGCCGCCGGAGCACGGCCCCGUCGCUCCCGCCGGCUCCAGGGACCGAGACCAGUACCGGAGCUUGGGCGGCCCGGAAGCACUCUGCCCGGAAGUGACGUCAACGGAGGGCCCCUGCGAGAGGCCGGAUCGAGGCUGCGCGCUGAGCCUGGGAAGGAGCGGCGGAAGCCGGUGGCCCCCAGGUGAACAGGAGGAAUGAGGGGCUACCGUUCGGGGACGAGGCAGCGGGAGACGGGAGGAGGGGAGGAGCGCUUCUCCGCGGAACCCAACCUCACCCCUCAGGGGCAGUCGAGGAGGCCCAAGCGGAACCCGGAAGCAAAUGAGCUGGAAGUGACAAGCAGCGCUCCGCCCGCAGACGCUGGUUAGCCGGGUUGUCAUAGAAACGGGUUCCAGAGCCGGGGGAUUGGUUUUUCCACCUGGCCGGCUUUCCCCUUGGUCAGGACAGUGCUUGAGAGCCCGAGUGACGUCAGGACCCGCGAUCCCAUUUCAAAGACGAAACCGCGGAGGGUAGAGUCAACGCGGAGGUCACCCGAGACUGGAGAGAGGACCGUGGGUGUUACCACUGGCGACCAAGGUUGGGGCGGAUGGGGCGUGAAGGGAGGCUCAGGGGAGGGCUCAGCGUUUUGGAGCACUUGUUGCCUUCAUAGGAUACGGGUUCGAUUCCCAGCACUCACGUGGAGGCUCACAACCAUCCAUAACACCAGUUCCAGGGGAUCUGAUGCCCUCUCAGACCUCCUCGGGGAUUAGUCACGCACGUGGUAUACAUACAUAGAUGCAAGCAACACAUAACGUAAACUAAAAAUAAAUCGCUACACAGCAAAA